UUGGCUCCAACAUAAAAAAAAUUAAGUCUCUUUUCUCUACUGUUCGACAAUUUGCCUUUUCCUCUUGUCACUCUUUUCUUCUUCCCCUUUUCAUUUGUUACUCUUUCGUUCUCUUUUCUUCCAUUUGCCCAGAAAAUCUAUCGCUUUUGUCCAGAAAAUCUCUUUUCAAAAUCCCACUUUGUGUUAAAACACAAAACAAAUCUCACUUCGUAAUCUCACUCUCUCUUCGCAAUUUUCUAAGUUAUAGUCCUCGUCCAGCUCAAAGUUGUUGUUUUUAUGGUUUUUGUUUCAAUGAGAGUUUCGAGGGAUUCAAAUUCGUUAGGGUUCUCCUUUCGAUGGGUUCACUUUUGUUAGGGUUUUGCUUCAAAUUGAGUUUUCUAACUAUUUAGAGUUUUUAUUUAAUUUUAGGUUUCCGACUUAGGGUUUUCGAUGGGUUCAAUUUUGUUAGGAUUUUGCUUCAAAUAGAGUUUUCACAAGAUUUAGGGUUCUAUUUCAAUUUGGGUUUUCGAUUUAGUGUUUUCGACUUCGUAUUCACAUUGAACAUGUUUGUUUAUGUUGUGUGAAUCUAUGAUGUCUACUUUUCAGACAUUUGAGUUUAUCUAAUUGACAUGUAAUUCAUUGUUUAUGCAGAUCGAUUUAAGACAUACGAAGAACUAUCAGUUAGUAAUUGGCAUUGUGAUUUUCAAGUUUAUUUGUUAUUUGAGUGUUUGAUUGAUGAUGAACUAAUUAUCACACUUGAAUAUAAAAUUGGUGGUUAUUUUUCUAACAUGGACAAGGCUUGGGUUUGGCUUCCAAGGUGUGCAUUUCUUUGUUAUUGAUGUUGUUGUCUUUUCUUAGUUAUAGUGAUUCUAAAUAUUGAAAGUGUGUUACAUGUUAACUUAAUUACAAGGCUAGCCUUGAGUAUGGGGAAGUAGCUAGUAAUUUUGUCUAUUCAUCAAAAAAGAGAUUAGGUGAUCCUGUUGACAUGUUGUGUCCCCUGCAUUGAUUGUCAUAAUGUCUGCCAUCAACGAAUAGACACAAUGUUAGAUCAUAUAGUGAUUAGAGAGAUGGAUCAGAAGUAUAAGAUGAAUACAUGUUGGAGUAAACAUGGAGACAUUAGGGAUCAGAAGACAGUUGAUGUUCAGACAUCUGACUUUGAGGCUUAGGACUUGAUUAGGACUGCAUUCUUUGCAAGUGGAGGAAAAAUGCAGUGUCAGGGAAACGAUGGAGAUCAUCGGGAUGAGUUUGAAAUUAAAGCUGAAUCUUAAUUUAGGGAAAGUUGAAGGAUGCUGAAAGUCAACUCUACUCGACAUGUCCCAACUAUACUAAGGUGUCUACAAUCAUGGUUCUCUACCACAUUAAAGUUAAAAGUGGUUUAUCUGAAAAAAUGUUUAGAUAAAAAAAGAUUGCUAAGGAUUGGCGUUGGCAUUUCAACAAUGCUAGUGAAGAUGGUACAAUACGACGCCCAGUUGACUCAUUGACUUUGUCUCAAGUGAAGGAUAAAUGGUCACAGUUUUCAGCUGAACCAAGGAAUCUUCGACUUGGCCUUUCUACAGAUGAGAUGAAUCCUUUCGCCAUGCAGAACACCAAGUAUAGUACAUGGCCAGUGAUGUUAGUCAACUAUAACAUGCCUCCGACUAUGUGUAUGAAGGUUGAGAAUAUCAUGUUGACAAUGUUGAUUCCUGGACCAACUGCACCAAGCAAUAACAUUGAUGUUUAUCUUACACUUCUGAUAGAUGAUCUAAAUGAUUUGUGGGAAGAUGGUAUUGAGGUUUAUGACUGACUCAUGAAGGAGACUUUCACACUUAGAGUUAUACUAUUGUGGAGUAUCAGUGACUAUCCAACUUUAGGAACAUUAUCUGAAUGUAAAGUGAAGGGGGAACAAGGUUGUAAUAUAUGUGGCAAGGACACUACAUAAAUGGUUGAAGUAUAGUCUAAAGCAUGUUUAUUUUAGGAAACAGGAAGCGUUUCAGGCCUCGACAUCCUUAUAGACGAAAAAGCAUGGUUUGAGAAUACUAUUGAAGAUGGAACUGUGAACAGAAUCCAAGCUGGGUCUGACAUACUCAAUACACUUAAGGACUUUAAGAAUGAUUUUGGAAGACCUUUGGAUAAGAAAGGUAAGAGAAGUAGAACCGAUUUAUGUGAUGAGGAUGCAAAUUCAUAAGAAGAAUAUGAAGAAGAUACAGAUCAAUGGCGGUGGAAGAGUCGAUCAAUUUUCUUCUAGUUGGCUUAUUGGAAGGAUAUGCCUGUCCGUCACAACACUGAUGUGAUGCAUGUUGAAAAAAACAUAUCUGAUGCAUUAUUAUCGACUCUUAUGCAAAGUGUCAAAUCAAAAGAUGGCUUGAAAGCACGAAAGGAUUUGGAAGAUAUAGGGAUCAGAACAUACUUACACACCGAGGUAUUGGUUGCCUCUGAUCCAAAAGAAAAUUUGAACAAUAUAACACUAUGUCCGAAUGCUGUUGUUGUUAAGGCUGAUAUGGUGGUUAAAAGUGAUACCUUUUGUGGAGAACAACUACUGAUAUGUCAUUCAUGAGUGAUUCACUUAAUGCAAACAUUGUUUGGCCUAUUCAGAAGACAUAAUUUAUAAAUAUAACACCGCUAGAGGAAGCACCAAACAGAUCAGCACCUACGAGUCUAAGUAACACAUCCACUACCAAUAAAGUUGCAAAGAAAAUUUGUCUUUUGCUAAAUCUCCAAAACUCUGGUAGCAUAGUUCCAGUUGCAGAAGGGCAAGUUUGUUCGAUCAAUCCAGCAGACGUAGUCCAUUUUGUUCCCUUAGGUCCAAAUGCUAGCAAGGUCUGGGUAGAAGUUUCAAAGAUUGGAGAUGCAAAAGUGUGGAGACCAAAUUCAGAAAUCCAAUUCAUUUCCGACGCAAUAGGCACUAUACUAUAGCUUGGCCUGCUAAUAGACUCAUAUUGCUCUGAACAUGAUCAUGAACUAUACUUGAGUUACUUUGUCUUUAGUUGCUAUGAACUUGGUAUGUUGUACUAUUUCGGAUGUUUAUGACAAUAAUAUUUUCUCCUUCGUAUA